GGUAAUACAGAGGGUGCAAGCGUUAAUCGGAAUUACUGGGCGUAAAGCGCGCGUAGGUGGUUCGUUAAGUUGGAUGUGAAAUCCCCGGGCUCAACCUGGGAACUGCAUUCAAACUGUCGAGCUAGAGUAUGGUAGAGGGUGGUGGAAUUUCCUGUGUAGCGGUGAAAUGCGUAGAUAUAGGAAGGAACACCAGUGGCGAAGGCGACCACCUGGACUGAUACUGACACUGAGGUGCGAAAGCGUGGGGAGCAAACAGG
rnacentral:rRNA from 1 species